rnacentral:rRNA from 1 species
CGCCUCUUGUAAAAUACAUGGUACCUAGCCUGACCAUCGACUUCAUUGUUUCGGCCCAGGUACCCUGCCGUGCGAAGGUCAGAUAAUUAUCUUGUUCUUUAAAUAAGAACUAGUAUCUACGGCAUCACGAGGGUUACACUGUCUCCUCCUCCAAUCAGUGAAACUGAUCUCCCCGUGAAGAAGCGGGGAUAAAAAUAUAAGACGAGAAGACCCCAUGGAGCUUUAAACCCAACAACAACCUCUAUGCACAUCCCCCUGAUAAAUGCAGAGGCACUGUCUGUUGGUUUUAGGUUGGGGUGACCGCGGAGUAAAACUUAGCCUCCACGAUGAACGGGAUUAACCCCUAAUCCAAGAGCCACCGCUCUAAGAAUCAACAAAUUUGACGUAAAUGAUCCGACAAUCGAUCAACGAACCAAGUUACCCUGGGGAUAACAGCGCAAUCCAUUUCAAGAGCUCCUAUCGACAAAUGGGUUUACGACCUCGAUGUUGGAUCAGGGUAUCCAGUGGUGCAGCAGCUACUAAAGGUUUGUUUGUUCAACAAUUAAAACCCU